rnacentral:rRNA from 1 species
UUUUACUUUCAGGCGGGAAGAAGGCAGGUGGUGUUAAUAACACUAUUUGAUUGACGUUACCCGCAGAAGAAGCACCGGCUAACUCCGUGCCAGCAGCCGCGGUAAUACGGAGGGUGCGAGCGUUAAUCGGAAUUACUGGGCGUAAAGCGUACGUAGGUGGUUUGUUAAGUUAAGUGUGAAAUCCCUGGGCUUAACCUAGGAACUGCAUUUAAAACUGGCAAGCUAGAGUCUCGUAGAGGGGGGAUAGAAUUCCAGGUGUAGCGGUGAAAUGCGUAGAGAUCUGGAGGAAUACCAGUGGCGAAGGCGACCCCCUGGACGAAAACUGACGCUCAGGUACGAAAGCGUGGGGAGCAAACAGGAUUAGAUACCCUGGUAGUCCAUGCCGUAAACUAUGUCGAUUUGAAGGUUGUGGCUUUGAGCUGUGGCUUUCGUAGCUAACGCGUUAAAUCGACCGCCUGGGGAGUACGACCGCAAGGUUAAAACUCAAAUGAAUUGACGGGGGCCCGCACAAGCGGUGGAGCAUGUGGUUUAAUUCGAUGCAACGCGAAGAACCUUACCUACUCUUGACAUCCAGAGUACUUGGCAGAAAUGCCUUGGUGCCUACGGGACCUCUGAGACAGGUGCUGCAUGGCUGUCGUCAGCUCGUGUUGUGAAAUGUUGGGUUAAGUCCCGCAACGAGCGCAACCCUUGUUCUUUGUUGCCAGCGAUUAAGUCGGGAACUCAAAGAAAACUGCCG